GCCUGUUUAUCAAAAACAUGGCUCUUUGUGUAAAAUAAAUAAAGAGUCGGACCUGCCCGGUGAUAAUUUUUUAACGGCCGCGGUACCCUGACCGUGCAAAGGUAGCAUAAUCAUUUGCCUUGUAAUUUAAGGCUAGUAUGAAGGGUUUGACAAGAAUAUAACUGUCUCCUUUUGGUUCAGUAGAAUUUUACUUGUAAGUGAAGAGGCUUGCAUUAUAUUAAUAGACAAGAAGACCCUAUCGAGCUUAAAAACAAUUAGUAGGUAAAAUCUUAAAUGAAUGACAAAAUUAAAUCUGCUAAAGAUUUUGGUUGGGGCGACUGAGGAACAAAUAAAGCUUCCUUAAAAAUUUUAACAUUCAAGUAGUGAUCCAGGAAAAUUCUGAUUAAAGGAAUUAGUUACCGUAGGGAUAACAGCAUUAUCUUUUUUGAGAGCUCCUAUCGAAAAAAAGGUUUGUGACCUCGAUGUUGGACCAGAAUAUCCCGAAGGUGUAGCAGCCUUCAAAGGUUGGUCUGUUCGACCAUUAAAAUUCUACGUGAUCUGAGUUCA
rnacentral:rRNA from 1 species